rnacentral:sRNA from 1 species
AAGUAAAAGUCGUAACAAGGUCUCCGUUGGUGAACCAGCGGAGGGAUCAUUACCGAAGUUACCCUUCAARACCCAUUGUGAACCUUACCUCUUGCCGCGCGGUUGCCUCGGCGGGGAGGCGGGGGUUGGGUCGGCGCGCCCCACAGCGGGCCGCCGUCCCCGCCCCCGUCCCCGCCGGCCGCGCCAAACUCUAAAUUUGCAAAGCGGACUGCAUGUUCUGAUUUAAAAGAAAAAACAAGUCAAAACUUUCAACAACGGAUCUCUUGGUUCUGGCAUCGAUGAAGAACGCAGCGAAAUGCGAUAAGUAAUGUGAAUUGCAGAAUUCAGUGAAUCAUCGAAUCUUUGAACGCACAUUGCGCCCGGCAGCAAUCUGCCGGGCAUGCCUGUCCGAGCGUCAUUUCUCCCCUCGAGCGCGGCUAGCCCUACGGGGCCUGCCGCCGCCCGGUGUUGGGGCUCUACGGGUGGGGCUCGUCCCCCCCCGCAGUCCCCGAAAUGUAGUGGCGGUCCAGCCGCGGCGCCCCCUGCGUAGUAGAUCCUACAUCUCGCAUCGGGUCCCGGCGAAGGCCAGCCGUCGAACCUUUUUUACUCAUGGUUUGACCUCGGAUCAGGUAGGGUUACCCGCUGAACUUAAGCAUAUCAAUAAGCGGAGGA